rnacentral:ncRNA from 1 species
AUUGAAUUUGGUUUUGGUUCUUAAAUUUAGCUGUUAUUAUUAUGAAAUACAUGGUACUUUUAGGUAGUAAUGAGUAAAAAAUAUUUUUAUUUAUGUUUUUAAAAAAUGUUUUUGAAGAUGUGGUUAAUAUUAUAGUUUUAUAUGUUAUAUUUAAUAGAUAGUCAUUUUUACACCAGUAUUGAAGAUUAAAUUUAUAAACGUUAGUUUGAUUUAGUAAAUAGUAAUUUAUAUUUUAUCUAUUUAAGAAUAGAAUAGUGAAGAUCUGGCUAAGACUUGUGCCAGCAGCUGCGGUUACACAAGCAGAUCAAGUUAAAUUUAUUCAGCAUAAAAGAAGGUUAGGAAUAUAUUUAGGAAAAUAAAGAUAAAUUAAUUUAGAAGUAUAAUUUAUAAAUUUUAAUAAAAUUAAUUAUUAUUUUAAAGUUUGAUGCCUUGAAAUUUUAAGUAUAAACUAGGAUUAGAUACCCUAUUAUUUUAAAAAGUAAAAAUUGUUUGAUUUCUGCUAGGGUAGUACGAGUAAAAUAUUACUUAAAACUUAAAAGACUUGGCGGUGCCUUAUUUCUUUCUAGGGGAAUCUGUUUCAUAAUUUGAUAAUCCGCAUUUUAGCUUACCUAGUUUUGUAUAUAUGAAUUAACAUAUUUUUCAGUUAGUAUACCGUCGUCGUUAGAUUAUUUUUGAGAAUAGAGAAGUAAUCGGAUAAAAUAGUUUGUUUGUUUGUAAAUAAAUUUUUAAGAUGUCAGAUCAAGGUGCAGCUUAUAAUUAGGGGAGAAUGGAUUACAGUAAGUAUUUUUUUUGGAAUAGAUUUUGUAAUAGAUCUAUGAAAUUGGACUUAGGAGUAAUUUUUUAAGUAAGUAGAAUUAUAAAAAUGAAUUUUUUUUUGUUCUAAGGUGUGCACAAAUCGCCCGUCGCUCUUGUUGAAAGAUAAGAUAAGUCGUAACAUAGUAAAGGUACUGGAAAGUGUCUUUGGAUAAAU